CUGCUCUGGUUUCUCUUCCUCUUCUACGUCUUUUGCCUUUUACUAAGGACUUCCGUGGGGAAGGAACAAACAUGAGUUGAAAUCUUUUUGGCAGAGCUUUGCUGCCUUGGCAUG